AGACGACACGGCUGGAGCUGCAGAGUACAUAGCUACCAACAACCUUCGUGACACAGCAGCCAUAGCUAGCGCACGAGCAGCAGAGCUCUAUGGACUACAGAUACUGGCCGAUGGAAUCCACGACGACUCAAACAAUGUGACACGGUUCGUGAUGUUGGCCCGUGAGCCGAUAAUCCCGCGCACGGACCGACCAUUCAAGACGAGCAUCGUAUUCGCACACGAGAAAGGGACGAGCGUGCUUUUUAAAGUGCUAUCAGCUUUCGCGUUUCGUAACAUCAGCUUAACAAAGAUCGAAUCACGGCCACGCCGAAGCUGCCCUAUUAGGCUAGUAGACAAUGCAAAUAUCGGCACAGCAAAGCACUUCGAGUACAUGUUUUAUGUAGAUUUCGAAGCGUCAAUGGCAGAUGUUAGGGCACAAAACGCAUUGGCGGAGGUGCAAGAGUUCACGUCUUUCUUGAGGGUGUUGGGCAGCUAUCCAAUGGACAUGACCCCUUGGUGCCCA
rnacentral:misc_RNA from 1 species